rnacentral:lncRNA from 1 species
AGGCAGGACAUCCCCAAAGAUGCUUAUUGACGCCAGCUGGACGUGGCUGGCGGGAAGACUGGCACCUGUUCAUGAAAAUAAAAUCUCCUGAUAAGGUUUUCUUGCGGAGCCUGGUUGAGCCUGAAUCAACAAACAACAUCCUGAACCUGAGCACCCCUUGCUGAGCUAGGAGGAAAGGAAGGGUGAGGGGAAACGUACUCCAGCUCUGUUUGUCAGCUUCAUUAGUUCACAGAGUUUAUGACCUGCUGCAGGGAACAUUUUUGUGUGUAAUUCAAACACAUUCUGUUUUAUCAUUCCCUCGGUACCCUGCUGGGACAAGAAUGGGCUGAUGACAGCCAGCCCCUGGGUGGUGACUUCAGGGAAAGGCACCAGCAAGAUGUGUGUGUGGGGAGCUUGGACCGCCAGUCACAGGCACAGGUGUACGGGGAGCAGGGGUGAGUCCAGCCAGCCACUUACCCCAGGGUUGACACCAAUAACACGGCAGGGAAAAGGGGGGCCUCUGGAGGACAGGAAUGGGGAGUAAAAGAGCUUCCCUUGCAAAAGCAGCCCCAUUUUCACAACAGUCUUCGGGCUGCCUGGCAAGCCUUCCUCUCCCGUCAGUCAAAUGUCUGGCUUCCCCCACCUGGCACUAAUCCUCCCCGCCAAGGAGACAGGGUGGGGAAAGGAAGGAGGAAGCCCCUUGAUAGAGCAGGUCCUGCUGAGACUGCAGGGGGGCCCUCAGACUUCACCGAUUCUAGGAUCCAAGCCAGGGGCCCCCCUCCCGUUCUCUGCACAGGCGCCAGGAUGGGCGCGCCACUCAACUCCUCAGCCUGGACCUCUGCACUGCCCAGUGCGAGGCCCAAUGACCUUCACUGGGGGCAGCUGCACCACCAGCCUUGGCUGCCCUACAGGUGAGGGCUGGGUCACUUGGGAAGAGCAGGGCAGGAGGAACCUAGAGGAAGGUGAGCUCUUCAGAACGGUAUGGAGGCCAGAGAAAGACAAAGAGAAAUGAUAGAGGCAUCCAGGCUGGACGAGAAGGUCCAGUGCAUUGAGCUGUAGGAGCAGCAACACACAGCCAGCUGCGCUGAGCCGGCUGGGACAAACCUGAGCAGGGCUCAGACCCAGGUUCCUGGGCCCCGAGUACCCUGGUACCCAAGGAAAAAAGUCCGGAGGGCCUGCUCCUGGAUUCCGCUAGUUGUUAGAAAAGGGUUCCUCUGGCUGGGCACGGAGGUAGACAGGGCAAGAUGCUUCGCUCUC